UACGGGGGGAGCAAGCGUUGUUCGGAUUUACUGGGCGUAAAGGGCGCGUAGGCGGCCACCGCAAGUCGGUUGUGAAAUCUCUGGGCUUAACCCAGAAAGGUCAACCGAUACUGCGGGGCUAGAGUGCAGAAGGGGCAACUGGAAUUCUCGGUGUAGCGGUGAAAUGCGUAGAUAUCGAGAGGAACACCUGCGGCGAAGGCGGGUUGCUGGGCUGACACUGACGCUGAUGCGCGAAAGCGUGGGGAGCGAUCCGG
rnacentral:rRNA from 1 species